rnacentral:rRNA from 1 species
UACGUAGGGGGCAAGCGUUGUCCGGAAUCACUGGGCGUAAAGCGCGCGCAGGCGGUCAUCUACGUCUGGGGUGAAAGCCCGGAGCUCAACUCCGGGAUUGCCUUGGAUACGGGAUGACUUGAGGAUCGGAGAGGCAAGGGGAAUUCCACGUGUAGCGGUGAAAUGCGUAGAGAUGUGGAGGAACACCUGUGGCGAAGGCAGCUCGCUGGGACGUUACUGACGCUGAGACGCGAAAGCGUGGGGAGCAAACAGG